CCUUUGAUGUCCUCCAGCUGCUCUGCCUCGACUAUCAGUGAUUAACGGAGUUUCCUGAUGGACAGAAGGCUUUUCUUGUUGCUAAAGUAAUGCUAAACGCUAACUGCUGCUAACUGCAUAGCUGCCCCUGUAUAUUGUUGGACUGGGAUCUAUGAG